GACCCUCCAAGGUCACCUCUUCCGACCAGGCCCUGCCUCCUUGCAGCAAGUCAGCUAUGCGCUCCACGUCCAGUCACCUUCCAAAGGUCCUGCCUAUGAAUGCAUGAGGUUUUAGGGGGACAUCUAAGUGUCAGCCAUAACAUGACAUUCCUUAUCCAAACUUUUGAGACUAGAAAUGUUUCAGAUUUUUUCAGAUUCAGAUUGGAAUAUGGUAUAAACUUAUGAUAUAUCUUGGUUUUGAAACCCACCUGUAAACAUGGAAUUCAUGUGUGUUUCAUGUAUGACUUAUGUGAAUAGCCUAAAGAUAAUUUUAAACUAUAUUCUGAACAAUUGCCUGCAUCUUUGCUGUGGAAUUUUCCACUUAAGACAUCCUGUCAGCAACCAGAAAGCUUUGGAUUUUGGAACAUUUUGUAUUUGGGUUUUCGGGCCAGGGAUGUGCAACACUGACAUGUGCAUUGCAGAAAAUGCGAAAAAUGAAGAGAAAACAAUAUUGUCAAAAAUCUGACUCUAAGAUGAGUGGUAUUUUUCUUUCAGUGUCUUACAAAUGCAUAGUUAAACACCUCCACAGAUGUAAUACUGUGCUCUGUCAUGGAAUGGUUGGUUAGAGCAUUGGAAGGGACUCAGUGGCUGCAGACCCAGGCUUAGAAAAGGCAAGCUUAUCCCUGGCAACAAAAAAAAAAACCAAAAAAAAAAAAAAAAAAAAGAAAGAAAGAAAGAAAGAAAGAAAAAAAAAGGAAAAGAAAAAAGAAAAGCCAAGCUUGGCUAGGCCUGGUGCUACACGCCUGUGAUUCCCCGGCACUCGGGAGGCUGAGGCAGGAGGAUUGCUGUGGGUUGGAGACCAGCCCAUGCUACAAAGUAAGCUGAAGGCCAGCCUGAACUGAUAGUGAGAGCCUCUCUCAAAAAAGACAAAGAAAGGAAGAAAAGGCAAGCUCGAUGGGGGUUGUGGGGCUGUGUGCAGUGGCCGCCGUCACAGGCGCUUGGCCUGGGUGCAGAACCGAGGGACAAGGCCUUGCAGGUGCGGCUGGGGGUGAAGAGUGGGCUGGGCAUGCUGUCCACAUGGCUGCGUCAGGACUCAGCUGAGCCCUGGGUCACCCCUAAGCCUCUGCCAGCCCAGCCCCACCUGCAAGGUCUUUACCUGGUGAAGCAGCUGGUGUGCAGAAGAUAAAAACCCCUUUCUUUCUUCCCAUCCUCGCCCUAGGUCUUUGAUCUCAACACGAGGUCGAGCCCUAUCUUGGUUACUUUUCUUUCAUUGUUGGGACAAAAUACCUGGGGGCUGGGGAUUUAACUCAGUGGCAUAAGCACCUGCCUUGCAAGUGUGUGGUCAUGAGUUUGAUCCCCAGUACUGAUAAAAAAGAAAAAGACCAGAAAAUCAAUAAAUAACUGACACCCAAAGUGAGGCAAGGAAAGGUUUACUUGGCUUACAGUUUUGGAGGCCUGAUCCGCACUCAGCUGGCUCUAAGGCAGGGUGGCGGGCUGAGGAACAGCAUUCAUGGCAGCUGCAAGGACAAGCGUAAAGAGGCAGAAGAGGGACAAGGCAGGCUCCUCCCCGCCUUACACGGUACAUCAACUCUCUGCCCCUGGGCAGGUGCAGCACUCACACCACCAAGCCCAGGGCUAGACAGCAAAUCAAUCCCAAACGCUACGGUCAGAAGCCUCCACGACUGCAUGGGGCUGGUGGGGGGCACCCAGACACAAACUACAACAUUCCACCUGUGGCCUCCCAAAGACUCAUGUACAUCCUUUAUACAAAAGGCAUUUAACCCAUCUGCAAGAGUUGCCAGAGUCCUAACAGUUUCAGCAUUGCGGAGAAGUUCAAGUCCCAAGUCUUUGAGAUCUAAGGCAAACUUUGAGCUGUAACCCCCUGUACAAAUGAAAACAAAGUUAAACCCUUCCAACAUGCAAUGGUACAAGAUAAACAUUAUCAUUUAAAAAGGUACAAAUGGAGAUAAAGAGGGUUGGAACCAAAACAAGUCCAAACUCCAGCAGGGCAAACAUUAAGUCCUGGAGCUCCAUGUCCAGCAUCUGAAGCAAUCUGGUCAUGAGCUCCAGAGGACUUGAAUGAUUCCACUCCCACGGCACUGCCAGGGGUUUCAGUUCCCAGGGCUUCUGCCUCGGGGAGGCUCUGCUCUCUCCUUGCAGGUUUCCUCAGAUAACCCACACUCUGGCUUUUGUAAACUUCUGUGUUUUCCUUUGCUCCUUUGGCUUCACACAUGUUGGGUGCAGGCGCUCAACAUACCAUACCCCACCCGGGACUAAGGACCACGCCAGCUUCCGCAAUGCGCUACGUCCCUCCUUAAAUUAGCCAACCCGUGUGCACUUCGUGCUCACUCCAUACUCUGUGGCAACUCCUGAUUGGCCACAGCUGGAUAUAGUAGCCGGAGCCUGCAUCCCAUUCCCGCCCUGCUUCCUUGUGGCAGCCUGUGAUUGGUCACGGCCGAAUAUAUAAACCAGAGCCCGCCUAAAUAAACUAGCAGUUAACUGUCGUCCACAAAAGCGUCUCCUGUCUCCUGUUUCAUUGGAGCUGCACCGGUCAACUGGUGGCCCAUACGGGGAGCGCUGAGACCCUCUCUCCCGGAACGCUGAGACCCUCUCUCCGACAGUACGAGGAGAGCUGAGACCCUCUCUCCGAUGGAACAGAGACGUUAACAGGAAGAAGGCAGCGAACCUGUCUGGGUCCCGGAACGCCUGAUACAUCCCUGCAAACCACCAGACCCCGACCCAGAGGAAACGUCAACCACAGAACAGGGGAACCAACAGGAGCCUCACAAGCCAGACCAAGCAAGUAUACCCACAACUCCCAUUAACCAUGGCACCUUGGCCAACUCCCCUGGUUAGUAGCCUCCUUUUCCCCUCCUUCUUACAUCUCGUACGGUCCUUGCAGCCAAUGACUUUUCUAAAUUGCUCCACCGCAACCUGUUAUAUGUUAUAAUGUUGGGAUAACAGUACACUUUCAGCUGUUGUUAUGCAGGUACUCCAGUUCGCACCGGUUCCAGUUAUGGCGGACUCAGACGAGUUUCCUGUGAUCCAGCUCGGGCCAACUCUCCAAUUGGCUUUCAUAAAGGAAUGGGCAGGAACAGGGGCUCUGGCUACCAUGACUACACUUGCCGCAUUCGGCAGUCUACUUCUGCUCUGUCGGAUUCGCAGACAAAGGAAUAGGGACAAAGUAUCAAACAAGCAUUGCUGAUCAUGGAAUCUGGUCAAAGCCCGGCAGCAUGGCUCGCCAUGCUGUGACGCAGGUGUGGAGCAAAGCAUCGCAGGGGGUGUCGUCCUUGGCCAGGAGACACCCCGGUCCCCAUGUUGGCGAGCACGCGGGUUGGGCUCAUAAAACAGAUUUCCCGCCCCCUCCAAAAGAGCACCAACGAGUAGUGAGGCAUUGUCAUGACUGCAGCAGGACACCUCACGAGGGGCACCGACCUCUGGAGACCCUGCGUCAGUUAUAAAGAAAGGGGGAGAUGUUGGGCGCAGGCGCUCAACAUACCAUACCCCACCCGGGACUAAGGACCACGCCAGCUUCCGCAAUGCGCUACGUCCCUCCUUAAAUUAGCCAACCCGUGUGCACUUCGUGCUCACUCCAUACUCUGUGGCAACUCCUGAUUGGCCACAGCUGGAUAUAGUAGCCGGAGCCUGCAUCCCAUUCCCGCCCUGCUUCCUUGUGGCAGCCUGUGAUUGGUCACGGCCGAAUAUAUAAACCAGAGCCCGCCUAAAUAAACUAGCAGUUAACUGUCGUCCACAAAA